UGAUGGCGUUCCCUGUGGUGUUGCAAGUCACCAACAUUCGCAGUUUUUGUCCGUCAUAUAACAAACAUGGUCUUUAUUUACCCAAUCUCUACCUGGCAGUGCUUUUUUAUUUUUUUUUUCACUCUGAAUCUGCCAUUUUUGUUGAGAUUGGAUUUGCGGGGCCAAACAUUG
rnacentral:snoRNA from 1 species